AAGAGCUUGCUCUUCGAUUCAGCGGCGGACGGGAGAGUAAUGCCUAGGAAUCUGCCUGGUAGUGGGGGACAACGUUUCGAAAGGAACGCUAAUACCGCAUACGUCCUACGGGAGAAAGCAGGGGACCUUCGGGCCUUGCGCUAUCAGAUGAGCCUAGGUCGGAUUAGCUAGUUGGUGGGGUAAUGGCUCACCAAGGCGACGAUCCGUAACUGGUCUGAGAGGAUGAUCAGUCACACUGGAACUGAGACACGGUCCAGACUCCUACGGGAGGCAGCAGUGGGGAAUAUUGGACAAUGGGCGAAAGCCUGAUCCAGCCAUGCCGCGUGUGUGAAGAAGGUCUUCGGAUUGUAAAGCACUUUAAGUUGGGAGGAAGGGCAGUAAGCGAAUACCUUGCUGUUUUGACGUUACCGACAGAAUAAGCACCGGCUAACUCUGUGCCAGCAGCCGCGGUAAUACAGAGGGUGCAAGCGUUAAUCGGAAUUACUGGGCGUAAAGCGCGCGUAGGUGGUUUGUUAAGUUGAAUGUGAAAGCCCCGGGCUCAACCUGGGAACUGCAUCCAAAACUGGCAAGCUAGAGUACGGUAGAGGGUGGUGGAAUUUCCUGUGUAGCGGUGAAAUGCGUAGAUAUA
rnacentral:rRNA from 1 species